rnacentral:rRNA from 1 species
GAACGCGAAGAACCUUACCUAAGCUUGACAUCCCUCGGACAGGUGUUUAAUCACACCCUUCCUUCGGGACUGAGGUGACAGGUGGUGCAUGGUUGUCGUCAGCUCGUGUCGUGAGAUGUUGGGUUAAGUCCCGCAACGAGCGCAACCCUUGUCUUUAGUUGCCAGCAUUCAGUUGGGCACUCUAGAGAGACUGCCAGGGAUAACCUGAAGGAAGGUGGGGAUGACGUCAAAUCAUCAUGCCCCUUAUGCUUAGGGCUACACACGUGCUACAAUGGGUGGUACAGAGGGUUGCCAAACCGCGAGGUGGAGCCAAUCCCUUAAAGCCAUUCUCAGUUCGGAUUGUAGGCUGAAACUCGCCUACAUGAAGCUGGAGUUACUAGUAAUCGCAGAUCAGAAUGCUGCGGUGAAUGCGUUCCCGGGUCUUGUACACACC